UAACUGAAGAGUUUGAUCAUGGCUCAGAUUGAACGCUGGCGGCAGGCUUAACACAUGCAAGUCGAGCGGGGGAAGGUAGCUUGCUACCGGACCUAGCGGCGGACGGGUGAGUAAUGCUUAGGAAUCUGCCUAUUAGUGGGGGACAACAUCUCGAAAGGGAUGCUAAUACCGCAUACGUCCUACGGGAGAAAGCAGGGGAUCUUCGGACCUUGCGCUAAUAGAUGAGCCUAAGUCGGAUUAGCUAGUUGGUGGGGUAAAGGCCUACCAAGGCGACGAUCUGUAGCGGGUCUGAGAGGAUGAUCCGCCACACUGGGACUGAGACACGGCCCAGACUCCUACGGGAGGCAGCAGUGGGGAAUAUUGGACAAUGGGGGGAACCCUGAUCCAGCCAUGCCGCGUGUGUGAAGAAGGCCUUAUGGUUGUAAAGCACUUUAAGCGAGGAGGAGGCUACUCUAGUUAAUACCUAGAGAUAGUGGACGUUACUCGCAGAAUAAGCACCGGCUAACUCUGUGCCAGCAGCCGCGGUAAUACAGAGGGUGCGAGCGUUAAUCGGAUUUACUGGGCGUAAAGCGUGCGUAGGCGGCUUAUUAAGUCGGAUGUGAAAUCCCCGAGCUUAACUUGGGAAUUGCAUUCGAUACUGGUGAGCUAGAGUAUGGGAGAGGAUGGUAGAAUUCCAGGUGUAGCGGUGAAAUGCGUAGAGAUCUGGAGGAAUACCGAUGGCGAAGGCAG
rnacentral:rRNA from 1 species